UCUAUCUGAAUUUCCCCAUUUUUCCCCCCUUUUGUUUCUCACGAUCUCAAAUCCCCAAUCCCCAAUCCCCAAUCCCUUAAACAAAAAAUCCACAAAAUACUCUCUCUCUCUCUCUCUCUCGACUGUAAGCAGCGGCACUGGUAGCAGCAGCAGCAGUAAGAGGGGACGAUGGCGAGCAGCGAGCAACGACAGUGAGCAGCAAGUGACGACGGCUAGUAGUGACGACCACCACUGCCGCCGCCGCCACCACCUCCUCCCUUACCGCCCUCUCUCUCUCUUCUCCUAUUCUCUUCAUCGAUCUUCACUGGUCGUCUACUUCAUCUUCUCCACUCUCGUCGUCGGUUCCAAAACCCCAACCCUACCUUCGAUCUUCUCCAAUCCCUCCAUAAGCCAUAUGUUCGAAUCCAAACCCUACACUCCACUCAACUAUUUCAAAAUCUUUCUCUACAAAGGACUACCACCGGACUUGUCAAAAUGACGACCUCAAAUUGGCUGAUUGUGAUGAGAAAGAUCAGGUGGCGAGGCACAUUAACGCGUCAAAAACAAAAUCAGAAGAUAGACAGUUCAUAUAUACCCUAAUUUUCCCCUCCAUUUCUGUUCAAAUGGGAUUCUUAGAUUGGUCUUAAUGUGAUUGCCCUUGCACCUCAUUCAGGUCGCACAACAAAAGUUAUCUUAAUUGAGGCCUAUCUGCAGAAAACUAGAGAAACGAAACAAAUGAAGGUUUUUUCUCAAUUAUGUUAACCUAAGAGAUUGAUUUCUUGGAGUUCAAGCCUUGCAGCAGCAGUGACAAUAUCUGUUCCAAUAAAAACUCAAACAGUGGACACUAAGAAAGCAAUUUCUUUUCUCAUUUAACAUAUGGAAAAGCUUGGAAUUGCUUCACCCUCUCUUAUUUCCUCAGUUGCAUUUCCCGUAGAGCUGGGAUAUUUUCCGAGUAGGAGUUUGCUUCUUGUUGAAUACAUGCCCUUGAAGAAUGCGACUACCUGUUGUUUUUAUUACCCACGGAGAAUGAUGAGGAAAACUUUUUUUUUUUAUUUGUUAUUUUGAAUUGUGAACAACAUUAUGUAUUUAAACAAUAUAUAUGUAUUAUGGAACAUUAUGUAGUGGGGUAAUUUUGCUGCUAUGUAGUUAUGAAUUCAAGAAUACUUUUAUUAUGGAGAAAUUAUUAUUUCUAUA